CACAUCCAGUGAAGAGAUCCCGGACAGGGAAGUCAGAAGGUCUGCAAGCCUCGUCUUCGCCCCUGCUUUAGCUGCACUUGGUG
rnacentral:miRNA from 1 species